AAGAGAAAUUUUGAGAAGCCGCUAACUAUCUCUAAAACAAAAAAAUGUUUUUCUCUUA
rnacentral:tRNA from 1 species